UGCAGUCGACGGUGGUAGCAAUACCAUAGUGGCGCACGGGUGCGUAACGCGUAACCNACCUACCCAUCACUGGGGGAUAGCCCGCCGAAAGGCGGAUUAAUACCGCAUAAAACAACAGCCCGGCAUCGGGCAAUUGUUAAAGAUUUAUUGGUGGUGGAUGGGGUUGCGUGCCAUUAGCUAGUUGGGGGGGUAACGGCCCACCAAGGCGACGAUGGCUAGGGGAGCUGAGAGGCUGGUCCCCCACACGGGCACUGAGAUACGGGCCCGACUCCUACGGGAGGCAGCAGUAGGGAAUAUUGGGCAAUGGCCGAGAGGCUGACCCAGCCAUGCCGCGUGCAGGACGAAGGCUUUCUGAGUCGUAAACUGCUUUUGCCAGGGAAGAAAAAAGCGGAUGCGUCCGCUACUGACGGUACCUGGUGAAUAAGCACCGGCUAACUCCGUGCCAGCAGCCGCGGUAAUACGGAGGGUGCAAGCGUUGUCCGGAUUUAUUGGGUUUAAAGGAUGCGUAGGCGGCCGCUUAAGUCUGGGGUGAAAGCCCGUUGCUCAACAACGGAACUGCCCUGGAAACUGGUCGGCUUGAGUACAGACGAGGGUGGCGGAAUGGAUGCUGUAGCGGUGAAAUGCAUAGAUAGCAUCCAGAACCCCGAUUGCGAAGGCAGCUGCCUAGACUGUAACUGACGCUGAGGCACGAAAGCGUGGGGAGCGAACAGGAUUAGAUACCCUGGUAGUCCACGCCGUAAACGAUGGAUACUCGCUGGUGGCGACAGACGGUCACUGGCUUANCGAAAGCGUUAAGUAUCCCACCUGGGGAGUACGCUCGCAAGAGUGAAACUCAAAAGAAUUGACGGGGGCCCGCACAAGUGGUGGAGCAUGUGGUUUAAUUCGAUGAUACGCGAGGAAC
rnacentral:rRNA from 1 species